rnacentral:lncRNA from 1 species
AGAGCACCCAGCAUAACUGUGGGAGAAUAGUAAGCAUUGGACACAAAAUGGAAAAGCUGACCUUCUGGUACGGAAGAGCAUGAGCAGUGAGUGAGCAGUGCCCAUGCGUUGUGAGGCGGCCUCCAUGGUAUAAGUAACUCCAGGUUGAAGAACUUCUACUUAUAGGCAUCUAUUCAACGAAGACGAAUCCUGGAAUGGGGAUGGAAAUGAUGGCUCAUGUCUUAGCAAACUACCAAACUGAUCCGAGAGGACAGGGAAGUCAGUGUGGGCGGCUCUAAGGAGCCUCCCUCUCUACAGCUGCGGCUCAGAGGAUUACGGCGCUUCAUCCACAAGGCAACAUUGCACAAGUAGCUUUUGAACAAAAGUCAUGGAUACUAUUAAUGAUAUGUUCCCACACACAUUUAGUGUCGUCUCAAAAUUCACGCUGUCAACUGUCUCUAGGAAUCAUUUCCAUCUGAGAACAGACCACACAAAGACACAGUGAAACUCAGUUUCUGCAGAAUUUGAUUUCAUUUGAGUUACUGGGGAACAAAGCAAUUAGACAAUGAAUAAUAGCUCAAGACAGGCUGAAGCUGAAGAUUUCUGCAAAAGAAUGAAGAGGAAACGUUUUGAUCCUGAGCAGAUGUUCUCCCUAGAUUGCUUCACCUGAGGUUGAUUGACUUUUGGAAACGAGAUUUGUUCCCAGUGCUUUGUGAGUCUCUUGUUGGAAGGACUGUCUUUAAAUUAAAGCAAUUAGAGUUACUUUAUAAGAUUUACCCAAAUAUAAGAGCUGAAGAGAAUAAUUCAAAUUGAUCAGAAGAAAAUACUCAAUUACUGACAAAUGUCAAUUACAUCAAUAGCCUAGGCUGCUCUUGAACUCCUGGGCUCAAACGAUCCUCC